rnacentral:tRNA from 1 species
AGUGAAGUGGCCGAGAUUAGGCGGUAAACUGUAAAUUUACACACGAAAUUUAUUUCCUUCACUA